UGGGGAAUCUUCCGCAAUGGACGAAAGUCUGACGGAGCAACGCCGCGUGUAUGAUGAAGGUCUUCGGAUUGUAAAGUACUGUCAUUGGGGAAGAACGGUUUUCUUGAAAAGAUUGAGAAGACAUGACGGUACCCAAGGAGGAAGCCCCGGCUAACUACGUGCCAGCAGCCGCGGUAAUACGUAGGGGGCAAGCGUUGUCCGGAAUUAUUGGGCGUAAAGGGCGCGUAGGCGGGCCUUUAAGUCCGGUGUGAAAGAUCAGGGCUCAACCCUGAGAGUGCAUCGGAAACUGGAGGCCUUGAGGACAGGAGAGGAAAGUGGAAUUCCACGUGUAGCGGUGAAAUGCGUAGAUAUGUGGAGGAACACCAGUGGCGAAGGCGACUUUCUGGACUGUAACUGACGCUGAGGCGCGAAAGCGUGGGGAGCAAACAGGAUUAGAUACCCUGGUAGUCCACGCCGUAAACGAUGAGUGCUAGGUGUAGAGGGUAUCGACCCCGUUCUGUGCCGCAGUUAACACAAUAAGCACUCCGCCUGGGGAGUACGGCCGCAAGGUUGAAACUUGAAAGGAAUUGACGGGGUCAUAGCUG
rnacentral:rRNA from 1 species